UGACACGGGGUGCCGUAAUACAGCGGCUGAGAUUAACCCGUUGAACCUGUGUGGUUAGGACCAGCGAAGGGAUGUCAUG
rnacentral:ncRNA from 1 species